rnacentral:rRNA from 1 species
GACGAACGCUGGCGGCGUGCUUAACACAUGCAAGUCGAACGGAAAGGUCCGGCUUAGGGGCGGUGCUCGGGGUGCGAACUGGUGAGUAACACGUGAGUUACCUACCCUUGACUGUGGGAGAUCUUCAGGAAACUGGGGCUAAUACCGGAAAGGAUCUCCUGCUGCUGGGUGGGGGUGGGAUGGUUUCGGCGGUUGGGGGUGGACUCGCGGCGUAUCAGCUUGUUGGUGGGGUAGUGGCUGAGCAAGGCUAGGACGGGUAGCCGGGCUGAGAGGAUGACCGGCCACAUUGCGAUUGAGCUACGGCACAGCCUACUAUGGGACGCAGCGGUGGGGAAUAGAGUACAAUGGGAGGAAGGCUGAUGUAGCCAAGCAGCGUGGGGGGUGACGUCAUUCGGGUUGUAUACCGCUUUUGUCUUUGACGAAGCGUGAGUGACGGUAAUGGGUAAAGAAGCACCGGCUAACUCCGUG